CGUACCGCUGCAGAUAUNGUUACAGCCCCAACGACGUUAGGCAUGGGAUAAUGGAAUAGGACCCUGUCCUCCUAUUUUCAGUUGGUUUUGGCAGCGCGAGGACUAGGGUAAUGAUUAAUAGGGAUAGUUGGGGGCAUUAAUAUUUAAUUGUCAGAGGUGAAAUUCUUGGAUUUAUGAAAGAUUAACUUCUGCGAAAGCAUCUGCCAAGGAUGUUUUCAUUAAUCAAGAACGAAAGUUAGGGGAUCGAAGACGAUCAGAUACCGUCGUAGUCUUAACCAUAAACGAUGCCGACCAGCGAUUAGGAGACGUUGAAUACAAAACACCACCAUCGGUGCGGUCGUCCUUGGCGUCGGUCUUUCGGGGCCGGCGCGGGGACGGCUUAGCCCGGUGGCACCGGUGAAUGACUCCCUAGC
rnacentral:rRNA from 1 species